rnacentral:rRNA from 1 species
GAGAGUUAAACAGUACGUGAAAUUGUUGAAAGGGAAACGAUUGAAGCCAGUCGUACCAGCGGAUAAUCAGCCUUUAGAUGCGAUUUUGUGGAGCGUGAAGAGCUAAUCGCCUUCAUGUUUGUAUAUUCGUGUACUUGGGGUGUACUUAUUCGUGUGGUAAGUUAACAUCAAUUUUGGUUGUCAUAAAAUGAUUGGAGGAAUGUAGCUUCGAUCUCGUAUUGAAGUGUUAUAGCCUUUGGUAGAUGUGAUGAUCGGGAUUGAGGAUUGCAACGGAUACCCUUCGGGGCUACCUGUCUGAUCUCUGAUUGUUGCUUUGGUGCUGAAAGCUUGCUUAUGGUUAUCAAAGUCGAUGGUCAAUAGGUUAGAAUAGGUUAAAUUCGUUAAGGAUGUUGACGUAAUGGCUUUAAACGA